AUUGAACGCUGGCGGCAUGCCUUACACAUGCAAGUCGAACGGUAACAGGUCUUCGGAUGCUGACGAGUGGCGAACGGGUGAGUAAUACAUCGGAACGUGCCUAGUAGUGGGGGAUAACUACUCGAAAGAGUGGCUAAUACCGCAUGAGAUCUACGGAGGAAAGCAGGGGAUCGCAAGACCUUGUGCUACUAUAGCGGCCGAUGGCAGAUUAGGUAGUUGAUGGGAUAAAAGCUUACCAAGCCGACGAUCUGUAGCUGGUCUGAGAGGACGAUCAGCCACACUGGGACUGAGACACGGCCCAGACUACUACGGGAGGCAGCAGUGGGGAAUUUUGGACAAUGGGCGCAAGCCUGAUCCAGCAAUGCCGCGUGCAGGAUGAAGGCCUUCGGGUUGUAAACUGCUUUUGUACGGAACGAAAAGCCCAGGGUUAAUACCCUGGGGUCAUGACGGUACCGUAAGAAUAAGCACCGGCUAACUACGUGCCAGCCGCCGCGGUAA
rnacentral:rRNA from 1 species